rnacentral:rRNA from 1 species
CCUACGGGGGGCAGCAGUGGGGAAUAUUGCGCAAUGGGCGAAAGCCUGACGCAGCGACGCCGCGUGAGGGAUGAAGGUCUUCGGAUCGUACACCUCUAUCAGCAGGGAAGACAAUGACGGUACCUGACUAAGAAGCCCCGGCUAACUACGUGCCAGCAGCCGCGGUCAUAUGUAGGGGGCAGGCGGUAUCCGGAUUUACUGGGUGUAACGGGAGCGUAGACGGCGGUGCAAGCCAUAUGUGAAAGCCUGGGGCGCAACCCCGGGACUGCAUUUGGAACUGUGCUGCUAGAGUGUCGGAGAGGCAGGCGGAAUUCCUGGUGUAGCGGUGAAAUGCAUAGAUAUUAGGAGGAACACCAGGGGCGAAGGCGGCCUGCUGGACGAUGACUGACGUUGAGGCUCGAAAGCGUGGGGAGCAAACAGGAUUAGAUACCCCAGUAGUC